rnacentral:rRNA from 1 species
ACAGGUGGUGGCAUGGUUGUCGUCAGCUCGUGUCGUGAGAUGUUGGGUUAAGUCCCGCAACGAGCGCAACCCCUAUUGUUAGUUGCCAUCAUUCAGUUGGGCACUCUAGCGAGACUGCCGGUAAUAAACCGGAGGAAGGUGGGGAUGACGUCAAAUCAUCAUGCCCCUUAUGACCUGGGCUACACACGUGCUACAAUGGUUGGUACAACGAGUUGCGAGUCGGUGACGGCGAGCUAAUCUCUUAAAGCCAAUCUCAGUUCGGAUUGUAGGCUGCAACUCGCCUACAUGAAGUCGGAAUCGCUAGUAAUCGCGGAUCAGCACGCCGCGGUGAAUACGUUCCCGGGCCUU